GGUAAGUUCGAGGGGGCCCGCACAAGCGGUGGAGCAUGUGGUUUAAUUCGACGCUACGCGAAGAACCUUACCUGGGCUUGAACUGCUGGUGGUAGAGGCCCGAAAGGGUAACGACCCGGAGCAAUCCGGGAGCCAGUAGAGGUGCUGCAUGGCUGUCGUCAGCUCGUGUCGUGAGAUGUUGGGUUAAGUCCCGCAACGAGCGCAACCCUUACCCUUAGUUGCCAGCGGGUAAUGCCGGGCACUCUAAGGGGACCGCCCGGAUAACGGGGAGGAAGGCGGGGAUGACGUCAAGUCAGCAUGGCCUUUAUGUCCAGGGCUACACACGUGCUACAAUGGGCGAUACAGAGGGAAGCAAGGCCGCAAGGUAGAGCUAAUCCCUAAAGUCGUCCUCAGUUCGGAUUGCAGGCUGCAACUCGCCUGCAUGAAGUCGGAAUCGCUAGUAAUCGCGGAUCAGCUACGCCGCGGUGAAUACGUUCUCGGGCCUU
rnacentral:rRNA from 1 species